AGGUAAGAGGUGUGUAACGAGUGUGCAGGUGUGUCGUGUGUAGGUAUGAAGUGUGUAACGAGUGUGCAGGUGUGUCGUGUGUAGGUAAGAGGUGUGUAACGAGUGUGCAGGUGUGUCGUGUGUAGGUAAGAGGUGUGUAACGAGUGUGCAGGUGUGUCGUGUGUAGGUAAGAGGUGUGUAACGAGUGUGCAGGUGUGUCGUGUGUAGGUAAGAGGUGUGUAACGAGUGUGCAGGUGUGUCGUGUGUAGGUAAGAGGUGUGUAACGAGUGUGCAGGUGUGUCGUGUGUAGGUAAGAGGUGUGUAACGAGUGUGCAGGUGUGUCGUGUGUAGGUAAGAGGUGUGUAACGAGUGUGCAGGUGUGUAGAGGGUGCAAGUAGGAGGGAAAGAGGGAAAGGUGAGAAGGAAAGGGAGAGCGGUGAGAGGCGGAGGCGGGUAAUGAGGGAUCAGGAGGAAGGAAGGUCAGCGCCGCAUUAAAGGACACUCGUGGUUAACGAGGGUGUUCGGGACUUACGAGAAUGUACCGGAUUAAUGGGUGACGCUGGACGCUAUCGUUAAGGGCUGUUUGGGUGUAACGAGUAUAUUCCAGGUAAACAAGAGCAUAUCAAGCUGCUGAGUUAAGCACCUUGAAAAUGCUUCUGGAAUAAUAUAGUUCAUUUGGCUAAAAUUAAUCAACGGCAUUAUCGUGAAAUGACGAACGAGAAUCUCAAAAUAAGAAAAGUUUCUCAAUAGAAGUACUAACGGCUUAAAACAGUUUUCCAGACUGAUGGAUGUGCCAUUAGCAUCUCAUAUACUGGCAACAAUUUUCUAGAUGAAGGG